AGAACCUUCUAUUGUGUUGUAACAAUUGCUUUUACUCCCAGAUAUGAUAACUCUUUGAAGCAGUACCUGGGAGACGCACGUGAUCUACAUUAGCAGAGGAGUAACAAUGUUGGCUGAUAAACUAAUCUCAUCAGCCAUGCAGCUGAUCUUUCAUUGAGCAAGGGUCUCACAAGUCACUGUUAUCCAGCCAGCAGAACUGCCAUGUAUUUCAAGGCAUGGAGGCAGCAGCCGCUCAGGAACAAUUUGCCAUCUGAGAAACGGGCUUCUGUGAGCAGUUUAUUUGCAGCACCUGAAAAAAGAGGCAUAUGCAGCACCAGGUGGGCUGGCCAGUUUCUUAGUCAGCUGUUUCAUCCAUUAGUGUGCCUGACUUUUUGUGUUUACUGCAUUUGCUAUUCC
rnacentral:lncRNA from 1 species